rnacentral:rRNA from 1 species
GGGUUGUGAGGUUAAGCGACUAAGCGUACACGGUGGAUGCCCUGGCAGUCAGAGGCGAUGAAGGACGUGCUAAUCUGCGAAAAGCGCCGGCGAGGUGAUAUGAACCCUUGACCCGGCGAUGUCCGAAUGGGGAAACCCAGUGCAAUCCGUUGCACUAUCGUUAACUGAAUACAUAGGUUAACGAGGCGAACCGGGGGAACUGAAACAUCUAAGUACCCCGAGGAAAAGAAAUCAACCGAGAUUCCCCCAGUAGCGGCGAGCGAACGGGGAGCAGCCCAGAGUCUGAAUCAGCUUGUGUGUUAGUGGAAGCGUCUGGAAAGUCGCACGGUACAGGGUGAUAGUCCCGUACACGAAAAUGCACAGGCUGUGAACUCGAAGAGUAGGGCGGGACACGUGGUAUCCUGUCUGAAUAUGGGGGGACCAUCCUCCAAGGCUAAAUACUCCUGACUGACCGAUAGUGAACCAGUACCGUGAGGGAAAGGCGAAAAGAACCCCGGCGAGGGGAGUGAAAAAGAACCUGAAACCGUGUACGUACAAGCAGUGGGAGCACCUUCGGGUGUGACUGCGUACCUUUUGUAUAAUGGGUCAGCGACUUAUAUUCUGUAGCAAGGUUAACCGUAUAGGGGAGCCGAAGGGAAACCGAGUCUUAACUGGGCGUUAAGUUGCAGGGUAUAGACCCGAAACCCGGUGAUCUAGCCAUGGGCAGGUUGAAGGUUGGGUAACACUAACUGGAGGACCGAACCGACUAAUGUUGAAAAAUUAGCGGAUGACCUGUGGCUGGGGGUGAAAGGCCAAUCAAACCGGGAGAUAGCUGGUUCUCCCCGAAAGCUAUUUAGGUAGCGCCUCGUGAACUCAUCUUCGGGGGUAGAGCACUGUUUCGGCUAGGGGGCCAUCCCGGCUUACCAACCCGAUGCAAACUACGAAUACCGAAGAAUGUUAUCACGGGAGACACACGGCGGGUGCUAACGUCCGUCGUGAAGAGGGAAACAACCCAGACCGCCAGCUAAGGUCCCAAAGUCAUGGUUAAGUGGGAAACGAUGUGGGAAGGCCCAGACAGCCAGGAUGUUGGCUUAGAAGCAGCCAUCAUUUAAAGAAAGCGUAAUAGCUCACUGGUCGAGUCGGCCUGCGCGGAAGAUGUAACGGGGCUAAACCAUGCACCGAAGCUGCGGCAGCGACGCUUAUGCGUUGUUGGGUAGGGGAGCGUUCUGUAAGCCGUUGAAGGUGGCCUGUGAGGGUUGCUGGAGGUAUCAGAAGUGCGAAUGCUGACAUAAGUAACGAUAAAGCGGGUGAAAAGCCCGCUCGCCGGAAGACCAAGGGUUCCUGUCCAACGUUAAUCGGGGCAGGGUGAGUCGACCCCUAAGGCGAGGCCGAAAGGCGUAGUCGAUGGGAAACAGGUUAAUAUUCCUGUACUUGGUGUUACUGCGAAGGGGGGACGGAGAAGGCUAUGUUAGCCGGGCGACGGUUGUCCCGGUUUAAGCAUGUAGGCGGAGGUUCCAGGUAAAUCCGGUACCUUUUAACGCUGAGGUGUGAUGACGAGGCACUACGGUGCUGAAGUAACAAAUGCCCUGCUUCCAGGAAAAGCCUCUAAGCAUCAGGUAACAUCAAAUCGUACCCCAAACCGACACAGGUGGUCAGGUAGAGAAUACCAAGGCGCUUGAGAGAACUCGGGUGAAGGAACUAGGCAAAAUGGUGCCGUAACUUCGGGAGAAGGCACGCUGAUAUGUAGGUGAAGCCCCUGCGGGUGGAGCUGAAAUCAGUCGAAGAUACCAGCUGGCUGCAACUGUUUAUUAAAAACACAGCACUGUGCAAACACGAAAGUGGACGUAUACGGUGUGACGCCUGCCCGGUGCCGGAAGGUUAAUUGAUGGGGUUAGCGGUAACGCGAAGCUCUUGAUCGAAGCCCCGGUAAACGGCGGCCGUAACUAUAACGGUCCUAAGGUAGCGAAAUUCCUUGUCGGGUAAGUUCCGACCUGCACGAAUGGCGUAAUGAUGGCCAGGCUGUCUCCACCCGAGACUCAGUGAAAUUGAACUCGCUGUGAAGAUGCAGUGUACCCGCGGCAAGACGGAAAGACCCCGUGAACCUUUACUAUAGCUUGACACUGAACACUGGUCCUUGAUGUGUAGGAUAGGUGGGAGGCUUUGAAGCGUGGACGCCAGUCUGCGUGGAGCCAUCCUUGAAAUACCACCCUUUAAUGGCUGGUGUUCUAACGUAGACCCGUAAUCCGGGUUGCGGACAGUGUCUGGUGGGUAGUUUGACUGGGGCGGUCUCCUCCCAAAGAGUAACGGAGGAGCACGAAGGUUAGCUAAUCCUGGUCGGACAUCAGGAGGUUAGUGCAAUGGCAUAAGCUAGCUUGACUGCGAGAGUGACGGCUCGAGCAGGUGCGAAAGCAGGUCAUAGUGAUCCGGUGGUUCUGAAUGGAAGGGCCAUCGCUCAACGGAUAAAAGGUACUCCGGGGAUAACAGGCUGAUACCGCCCAAGAGUUCAUAUCGACGGCGGUGUUUGGCACCUCGAUGUCGGCUCAUCACAUCCUGGGGCUGAAGUAGGUCCCAAGGGUAUGGCUGUUCGCCAUUUAAAGUGGUACGCGAGCUGGGUUUAGAACGUCGUGAGACAGUUCGGUCCCUAUCUGCCGUGGGCGCUGGAGAAUUGAGGGGGGCUGCUCCUAGUACGAGAGGACCGGAGUGGACGCAUCACUGGUGUUCGGGUUGUCAUGCCAAUGGCACUGCCCGGUAGCUAAAUGCGGAAGAGAUAAGUGCUGAAAGCAUCUAAGCACGAAACUUGCCCCGAGAUGAGUUCUCCCUGAGACUUAAAGUCUCCUGAAGGAACGUUGAAGACGACGACGUUGAUAGGUCGGGUGUGUAAGCGCAGCGAUGCGUUGAGCUAACCGAUACUAAUGAACCGUGAGGCUUAACCUUACAACGCCGAAG